GAAAUGCGAUAAGUAGUGUGAAUUGCAGAAUUCAGUGAAUCAUCGAAUCUUUGAACGCACAUUGCGCCCCUUGGUAUUCCAUGGGGCAUACCUGUUCGAGCGUCAUUUGUACCCUCAAGCUCUGCUUGGUGUUGGGUGUUUGUCCCCGUCUCCGCGCGUGGACUCGCCCCAAAGUGAUUGGCAGCCGGCGUACUGGUCCCGGAGCGCAGCACAUGUCGCGCAAACGAGUGCCUUGGUACGGCGGCGUCCAUAAGCCCCUCUCUCACGCUCUUGACCUCGGAUCAGGUAGGGAUACCCGCUGAACUUAAGC
rnacentral:misc_RNA from 1 species